rnacentral:tRNA from 1 species
GCCCAGAUAGCUCAGUUGGUAGAGCGUACGCCUGAAAAGUGUAAGGUCCCUGGUUCGACCCCUGGUCUGGGCACAA